AACAGGGAUUGCCCUAGUAACGGCGAGUGAAGCGGCAACAGCUCAAAUUUGAAAUCUGGCCUUCGGGUCCGAGUUGUAAUUUGUAGAGGAUGCUUUUGGCGCGGUGCCUUCCGAGUUCCCUGGAACGGGACGCCUUAGAGGGUGAGAGCCCCGUACGGUUGGACAUUAAGCCUUUGUAAAGCUCCUUCGACGAGUCGAGUAGUUUGGGAAUGCUGCUCUAAAUGGGAGGUAAAUUUCUUCUAAAGCUAAAUAUUGGCCAGAGACCGAUAGCGCACAAGUAGAGUGAUCGAAAGAUGAAAAGCACUUUGAAAAGAGGGUUAAAUAGCACGUGAAAUUGUUGAAAGGGAAGCGUUUGCGACCAGACCUUUUCUUGGCGGAUCAUCCGGUGUUAUCACCGGUGCACUUCGCCAAGUCGAGGCCAGCAUCGGUUUCUGUAGGGGGAUAAAAGCCUGGGGAAUGUGGCUCCUUCGGGAGUGUUAUAGCCCUUCGCAUAAUACCCUUACGGGGACCGAGGACCGCGCUUUAUGCAAGGAUGCUGGCGUAAUGGUCGUCAACGACCCGUCUUGAAACACGGACCAAGGAGUCGAACAUUUGUGCGAGUGUUUGGGUGUUAAACCCUCACGCGUAAUGAAAGUGAACGGAGGUGAGAGCCCUUACGGGUGCAUCAUCGACCGAUCCUGAUGUCUUCGGAUGGAUUUGAGUAAGAGCAUAACUGUUCGGACCCGAAAGAUGGUGAACUAUGCGUGGAUAGGGUGAAGCCAGAGGAAACUCUGGUGGAGGCUCGCAGCGGUUCUGACGUGCAAAUCGAUCGUCAAAUCUGCGCAUGGGGGCGAAAGACUUA
rnacentral:rRNA from 1 species